rnacentral:rRNA from 1 species
AUUGAACGCUGGCGGAAUGCUUUACACAUGCAAGUCGAACGGCAGCACGGGGGCAACCCUGGUGGCGAGUGGCGAACGGGUGAGUAAUACAUCGGAACGUGCCCAGUCGUGGGGGAUAACGUAGCGAAAGUUACGCUAAUACCGCAUACGAUCUACGGAUGAAAGCGGGGGAUCGCAAGACCUCGCGCGAUUGGAGCGGCCGAUGUCAGAUUAGGUAGUUGGUGGGGUAAAGGCCUACCCAGCCGACAAUCUGUAGCUGGUCUGAGAGGACGACCAGACACACUGGGACUGAGACACGGCCCAGACUCCUACGGGAGGCAGCAGUGGGGAAUUUUGGACAAUGGGCGCAAGCCUGAUCCAGCCAUUCCGCGUGCAGGAUGAAGGCCUUCGGGUCGUAAACUGCUUUUGUACGGAGCGAAAAGGCUCUCUCUAAUACAGGGGGCUCAUGACGGUACCGUAAGAAUAAGCACCGGCUAACUACGUGCCAGCCGCCGCCGUAACAC